UACGGGGGGGGCAAGCGUUGUUCGGAAUUACUGGGCGUAAAGGGCUCGUAGGCGGCCAACUAAGUCGGAUGUGAAAUCCCCAAGCUUAACUUGGGAACUGCAUCCGAUACUGGAUGGCUUGAAUCCGGGAGAGGGAUGCAGAAUUCCAGGUGUAGCGGUGAAAUGCGUAGAUAUCUGGAGGAACACCGGUGGCGAAGGCGGCAUCCUGGACCAUGACUGACGCUGAGGAGCGAAAGCCAGGGGAGCAAACGGG
rnacentral:rRNA from 1 species